rnacentral:rRNA from 1 species
UACGUAGGUGGCAAGCGUUAUCCGGAAUUAUUGGGCGUAAAGCGCGCGUAGGCGGUUUUUUAAGUCUGAUGUGAAAGCCCACGGCUCAACCGUGGAGGGUCAUUGGAAACUGGAAGACUUGAGUGCAGGAGAGGAAAGUGGAAUUCUCAGUGUAGCGGUGAAAUGCGUAGAUAUUGAGAAGAACACCAGUAGCGAAGGCGGCUUUCUGGACUGUAACUGACACUGAGGCACGAAGGUGUGGGUAUCAAACAGG